UACGUAGGGUGCAAGCGUUGUCCGGAAUUAUUGGGCGUAAAGAGCUCGUAGGCGGUUCGUCGCGUCGGCUGUGAAAUCCCGAGGCUCAACCUCGGGUCUGCAGUCGAUACGGGCAGACUUGAGUGUUGCAGGGGAGACUGGAAUUCCUGGUGUAGCGGUGAAAUGCGCAGAUAUCAGGAGGAACACCGGUGGCGAAGGCGGUCUCUGGGCCAUUACCUGACGCUGAGGAGCGAAAGCGGGUGGGAGAACAGG
rnacentral:rRNA from 1 species